GUUUCCACACGAGACUCACAAAAUCGUCCCCGUCCCCGGCUCCGGCUCCGGCUCCGCCGCACGCCUCCGUCUCCCGCCUCCGCCUACACCGCCCGCUGUGGCGUCCGCCGCCACACGAGACGGUAAAAACCGUAGCUAGGUACCAUGUUUCGUCUCAGCUUAAUUGAGCAUACCUUACCCGUGCCUCCCCACUUACUCAACCGUCCUCUCGCUGAUGCAGUCA
rnacentral:misc_RNA from 1 species